GUGACCUGGAUCAUCCCAUAGGUUUCCGUACCGCGGCUCGGCCAGUACUGGUCACACUUCACCUGUGAGGAGGAGAGGACAAAAGCUCAGCAUUUGCAAAGUACUCCUCCAGCUCUGCAGUCUCCAUCCCUGAGCUCCCUAAUGUAAUUUGGUGCCCUGAGCUCCCACCCACAGAGCGCAGCACCCACCUGCAAGCACCACACUGAGGAUGGCUGCCUGCCCUAAAAGAGAGGAGUGAAUGGAAGAUCAUCUGUGCUUGUCAAGGAGCAGUAAACUUCAUUAUUAGCUGAGUGUGUUUACAGGGGAAUGUGUGGGAAGGGAAACAACGGGCUUAAUUAGAAAUCAAUGAACUUCUGCUUUUUAAUUGAAGGUGCUUUAAGCAGGGUGGGGUUCUGUGCUCUGGCUCUGUGAGCAGUGCAGCCCAGGCUCUGAGGGCUGCAUCUACCCCAUCUACCCCGGCUUCUGGGGCGGCUCUCAGGGUGCCCUGCCCUGGCAGAAGCUCCUGUCCCAAGGCUGCCCCAUGGGUGCCCAUCAGCCACCUGAGAGUCCUUCUCCCAGCCUGGGAACAAUGCAGCAUCCUAUGAGCUCUGUGCCAAGCUGUCCCUCAAUGCAGAGUGCAGGGGGCGCUGCAGGUGACUGGCACAGCAUAUCCCCAUGUCUGACCCGUGCCAUGAGGACAGCGGUGCCCUCCUUCCACCCACAUGCUCUACGCCACGUGUGCUUAAGCACAGAACAAACUUCAGAGGAGUUCCCUGUGAGGGAUAAUAGCAGCGCCUGGGCUGGUAAUUGAAAAUUAUUUAUUCAUGACCAGAUAAGAGUCAGUCACAUUUUCUGCCAAAUUUACCCAUAAUGUUUAUGCCCCAUUUUCAAGCUCUGUAAAUUUUAUGCUGAAGCCGAUGCGCUGUGGCACUAAAGCAGAUAAGAGAUGUUUUCUUCUGGCAGCGCUUGCUUCUCAUUAACUUAAGGAACACAGCAAUAUCCUGAACAGCCACUUAUGGCAGCUUUACCGAGUGGUUCCCGGCCCUCCCUUUUGAUGCCCCGUGCCCAACAACAGCCGGGCACCUCUCAGCUCCUGGUCUGGCUCCAGAGCUCCAGCUGGCACCGCUGCCCAUGGCCUCCUGCCCUGGAUCCACCUGUCUGGAGACAAAGCACCAAGAGGGGCUGCACCUCAAGUAUGAGCCUGGUGCUGGGACAGGAGAUCUCCCCUCCCUCUGCUCUGCUGCUCUUCUGGGGAUAGCCCAGGGUGGGAGAAACCCUGCUUUAAUGCUGCUCUAGUGCAACACGCCCCGGCUGGGACACACCGCGCUCACAGCUCCGGGAGAGCUAAUCUACAAUGUGUGUUUCUGAACUGCCACUGAAUGAUUCUGAAACUGAUUGUAAAGCUUUGAAGGUAGCUAAAUUGCACAAUUCAGCCAUUUCUAUCCUUUAUGUGUCUCUCGCUUUGUGAAAACAUGAAAAAGGGAGGAUGAUUUGGACCAUCAAGCCAGCUGAAAUUGCAGACCAUAAAAGCUGAUGCUCUUUAAA